rnacentral:ncRNA from 1 species
UAAGAUAGAGGUGCGGUAUAGAAUAGUAGGUGCUGACAGACUGCCAAGUCGUUUAUGCAGCAUUGAAAGGCGCAGCCGCCGAAGAUGAUGAUCUUGGCCGAUCGUUUUCUGAUCAUGCAUUUAAUAGGUGUAUGAUUGUCAUCAUACAUUACGAAUGAUGGAGUGCUAUCGC